UACGUAGGCAGCGAGCGUUGUUCGGAAUUACUGGGCGUAAAGAGUGUGUAGGCGGUGCUCUAAGUUCGGUGUGAAAUCUCCUGGCUCAACUGGGAGGGUGCGCCGGAAACUGGAGUGCUUGAGCGUGGGAGAGGAAAGCGGAAUUCCUGGUGUAGCGGUGAAAUGCGUAGAUAUCAGGAGGAACACCUGUGGUGUAGACGGCUUUCUGGACCAUAGCUGACGCUGAGACAC
rnacentral:rRNA from 1 species